GAUGAACGCUGGCGGCGUGCCUAAUACAUGCAAGUCGAGCGAACAGACGCGGAGCUUGCUCCUCUGACGUUAGCGGCGGACGGGUGAGUAACACGUGGAUAACCUACCUAUAAGACUGGGAUAACUUCGGGAAACCGGAUCUAAUACCGGAUAAUAUAUUGAACCGCAUGGUUCAAUAGUGAAAGACGGUUUUGCUGUCACUUAUAGAUGGAUCCGCGCCGCAUUAGCUAGUUGGUAAGGUAACGGCUUACCAAGGCAACGAUGCGUAGCCGACCUGAGAGGGUGAUCGGCCACACUGGAACUGAGACCCGGUCCAGACUCCUACGGGAGGCAGCAGUAGGGAAUCUUCCGCAAUGGGCGAAAGCCUGACGGAGCAACGCCGCGUGAGUGAUGAAGGUCUUCGGAUCGUAAAACUCUGUUAUUGGGGAAGAACAAAUGUGUAAGUGACUAUGCACGUCUUGACGGUACCUAAUCAGAAAGCCACGGCUAACUACGUG
rnacentral:rRNA from 1 species